AGAGUUUGAUCCUGGCUCAGGAUGAACGCUAGCGGCAGGCUUAACACAUGCAAGUCGAGGGGUAACAGGAGUAGCUUGCUACUUGCUGACGACCGGCGCACGGGUGCGUAACGCGUAUAGAAUCUACCUUGUACUAGAGGAUAGCCUUUGGAAACGAAGAUUAAUACCCUAUAGUAAGUAUUUAUGGCAUCAUUUAUACUUUAAAGGUUACGGUACAAGAUGACUAUGCGUCCUAUUAGUUUGUUGGUGAGGUAACGGCUCACCAAGACUUCGAUAGGUAGGGGCCCUGAGAGGGGGAUCCCCCACACUGGUACUGAGACACGGACCAGACUCCUACGGGAGGCAGCAGUGAGGAAUAUUGGACAAUGGAGGCAACUCUGAUCCAGCCAUGCCGCGUGCAGGAUGACGGCCCUAUGGGUUGUAAACUGCUUUUAUGUAGGAAGAAACACUCUCACGUGUGAGAGCUUGACGGUACUACAAGAAUAAGGACCGGCUAACUCCGUGCCAGCAGCCGCGGUAAUAAGGGCGAAUUC
rnacentral:rRNA from 1 species